UAAGGAAUAACGUCGAGAAAUCGGCGCUAAUACCUCAUAAUGCAGCGGAUCGCAUGGAUAUGUUGUAAAGGUUUACCGCCUUGGGAUAGGCUUGCGUCUGAUUAGCUAGUUGGUGUGGUAACGGCACACCAAGGCUACGAUCGGUAACUGGUCUGAGAGGAUGAUCAGUCACACUGGAACUGAGACACGGUCCAGACUCCUACGGGAGGCAGCAGUGAGGAAUAUUGGGCAAUGCUCGAAAGAGUGACCCAGCAACGCCGCGUGGAGGAUGAAGGUAUUCUAUAUCGUAAACUCCUGUGAGAGCAGACGAAAGACAGAUUAUUAAUCUGGAUGACUGUAUGCUCAGAGGAAGCCCCGGCUAACUACGUG
rnacentral:rRNA from 1 species